UCCCAGAUAGCUCAGUUGGUAGGGUGUGAGACUCUUUAAGCUUAGGGUCGUGGAUUUGAGCUUCACGCUGGGCA